CCUACGGGGGGCAGCAGUGGGGAAUCUUGCGCAAUGGGCGAAAGCCUGACGCAGCGACGCCGCGUGGGUGACGAAGGCCUUCGGGUUGUAAAGCCCUGUGGGGAGAGACGAACCGGGUCAUGGCUAACAUCCAUGGCUCCUGACGGUAUCUCUUUAGCAAGCAUCGGCUAACUCUGUGCCAGCAGCCGCGGUAAGACAGAGGAUGCAAACGUUGCUCGGAAUUACUGGGCGUAAAGCGCGCGCAGGUGGUCUCGUAAGUCGGGUGUGAAAGCCCGGGGCU
rnacentral:rRNA from 1 species